GACGAACGCUGGCGGCGUGCUUAACACAUGCAAGUCUAACUGAAAUGCCCUUCUUUUGUGGGGUGCUCGAGUGGCGAAUGGGUGAGUAACACGUCAGUUACCUGCCCUUUACUUUGGCAUAACUUCAUGAAUCUUGUUCUAAUUCUGGAUCGUCGCUCCUGCUUCAUGGUUGGGGUCGCAAUGUUUCGGCGGUUGGGGAUGUACUCGCGUCUUAUCAGCUUGUUGGUGGGGUAGUGGCUUACCAAGGCUUUGACGGGUAGCCGGGCUGGGAAGGUGACCGGCCAAAUUGGGAAUGAGAUAAGGCCCAGACUCCUAAGGGAGGCAGCAGGGGGGAAUAAUGCAAAAUGGGCGGAAGAGUGAUGCAGCAGCGCCGCGUGCGGGAUGACGGCCUUCGGGGUGUAAAAAGCUUUCGCCUGUGACGAAGAGUGAGUGACGGUAAUGGGUAAAGAAGCACCGGCUAAAUACGUG
rnacentral:rRNA from 1 species